rnacentral:lncRNA from 1 species
UAAUUACCAAUUCAUCUGUUGGCAGACUCUUCUGGCAGAUGUACCUGCAACUUGGAAAGAUAACAAAUGAACCAAUUCCUUACUCCAGAGUUGACACUGAUAGUGCUUACUGAAUUUGCUCUCAAAAAAGAAUCCUGGGCAACAAUACAUCUGGCACUCUGCUCGAGGAAUUUGUCAUGUCAUUGACAUGUUCAGCCUCCAUUGUCCACACCACCCUGACAGCA